rnacentral:rRNA from 1 species
UAUUCCUACGGGGGGCAGCAGUGAGGAAUAUUGGUCAAUGGGCGCGAGCCUGAACCAGCCAAGUCGCGUGAGGGAUGACGGUCCUACGGAUUGUAAACCUCUUUUGCCGGGGAGCAAGCGUGCGUUCGUGAACGCGCGUCGAGAGUACCCGGAGAAAAAGCAUCGGCUAACUCCGUGCCAGCAGCCGCGGUAAUACGGAGGAUGCGAGCGUUAUCCGGAUUUAUUGGGUUUAAAGGGUGCGUAGGCGGUUUGUCAAGUCAGCGGUAAAAAUUCCGGGCUCAACCCGGUCCCGCCGUUGAAACUGG